rnacentral:rRNA from 1 species
UACGAAGGGUGCAAGCGUUACUCGGAAUUACUGGGCGUAAAGGGUGCGUAGGUGGUUUUUUAAGUCCGUUGUGAAAUCCCUGGGCUCAACCUGGGAAUGGCAGUGGAUACUGGAAAGCUAGAGUGCGGUAGAGGGUAGUGGAAUUCCCGGUGUAGCAGUGAAAUGCGUAGAUAUGCGGAGGAACACCGAUGGCGAAGGCAAUCCCCUGGGCCUGCACUGACGCUCAUGCACGAAAGCGUGGGGAGCAAACAGG